GAUGAACGCUGGCGGCGUGCCUAAUACAUGCAAGUCGAGCGAACAGACGAGGAGCUUGCUCCUCUGACGUUAGCGGCGGACGGGAGAGUCACACGUGGAUAACCUACCUAUAAGACUGGGAUAACUUCGGGACACCGGAGCUAAUACCGGAUAAUAUAUUGAACCGCAUGGUUCAAUAGUGAAAGACGGUUUUGCUGUCACUUAUAGAUGGAUCCGCGCCGCAUUAGCUAGUUGGUAGGGUAACGGCUUACCAAGGCAACGAGGCGUGACCGACGUGAGAGAGGGGUAGGCCACAUUGGAACGGAGACACGGACCAGACUCCUGCGGUAGGCAGCAGUAUGGAAUGGGCCGCAAUGGGCGAAAGUAUGACAGAGCGACGCCGCGUGUGUGAUGAAGAUCUUCGGUUCGGAAUACUCGGUUAUUAGUGGAGAACAGAUGUGUAAGGAACUGAGCACGUCGUGACGGUACCUAGUCAGAAAGCCCCGGCUAACUACGUG
rnacentral:rRNA from 1 species